UGACAUUUCUUCAGGUGGGCGGGAACUCCUGCUUUCCUUCUCUUUGUCUAGUUGUUCUACUGGAUGGUUAAUUUGGACUUAUACUGUUAAGUCCUGUUGGAUGUCCUUUUUCUUUUUCUUUUGGACUGAUAAUGACAGAAUAAUGAAGGGAUAU